GUGACUGGUCUAUGGGUCAACCUGAAGAGUUUAGAGAGGGAGACUUUUCUACUGAACAAAGGUAUAAGGUCAACGUAGCAAGUCUGGUGGACAUGGCAGAGCUCCAUACCCGCAGUCAGACCAGCAGAAACUGGAUCAGCAGCACUACAAGACCAAUCAAGCAGGAGAGACCAGCCUCCCCUGUUCCCAGCUGUGUGUCCAUGAAGAGUGA